ACAAAAACCUAACAGGAUGCAUAUUGUGAAACUAUAUAUGUAUUACAAAGUAGCAUUUUGUAAAGUUUUAAAAAACUCUUUUCCAGGUUUUCCACCUUGUACUGAAAGCAACAGAUACAACAGGUCUGUUCUGUCAAGGAACACUAAUUAUCUUGAUUGAAACAUAAAUGAUGAGAAGCCUCAAUUUGAGCCAUUUCCUUUGGAUUCUAUUAAUGUGACUGAGAAGAAAUCUGUUGGAGAAAUUAUAGCAAAAGUAAAAGCAACAGAUCGAGAUGAAGAUAGCAGUAUCAUUUAUUCCUUUAAGACUCAGCAGAAAAUGUUUGGUUUGGACCCCUCCACAGGAACAAUCACUCUUCUUCAGCCUUUGAAUCUUGACAACCCAAGUAACUCCAAAAUCUACUCUUUGGAAAUUGAGG